rnacentral:tRNA from 1 species
GCCUGGCUGGCUUAGUUGGUAGAGCAUGUGACUCUUGAUCUCAGGGUUAUGAGUUCAAGUUUCACGUUGGUCA